rnacentral:rRNA from 1 species
GACGAACGCUGGCGGUGUGCUUAACACAUGCAAGUCGAGCGAGAAGUCAGGGGCCUGCCCCUGAUGGAGAGCGGCGAACGGGUGAGUAACACGUGGGCAACCUGCCCCAGACUCUGGGAUAACCCCGGGAAACCGGGGCUAAUACCGGAUACUCCCGCGGGAUCGCAUGAUCCUGCGAGGAAAGCUCCGGCGGUCUGGGAUGGGCCAGCGGCCUAUCAGCUUGUUGGUGGGGUAACGGCCUACCAAGGCGUCGACGGGUAGCUGGCGUGAGAGCGUGGCCAGCCACACUGGGACUGAGACACGGCCCAGACUCCUACGGGAGGCAGCAGUGGGGAAUCUUGCGCAAUGGGCGAAAGCCUGACGCAGCGACACCGCGUGCGGGAUGAAGGCCUUCGGGUUGUAAACCGCUUUCGGCAGGGACGAAGCGAAAGUGACGGUACCUGCAGAAGAAGGUCCGGCUAACUACGUGCCAGCAGCCGCCGUAAUAC